UACGUAGGGUGCGAGCGUUAAUCGGAAUUACUGGGCGUAAAGCGUGCGUAGACGGUUAUGUAAGUCAGGUGUGAAAGCCCCGGGCUCAACCUGGGAAUUGCAUUUGAGACUGCAUAGCUAGGGUGUGGAAGAGGGAAGCGGAAUUUCCGGUGUAGCGGUGAAAUGCGUAGAUAUCGGAAGGAACACCAGUGGCGAAAGCGGCUUCCUGGUCCAGCACCGACGUUCAGGCACGAAAGCGUGGGGAGCAAACAGG
rnacentral:rRNA from 1 species